rnacentral:rRNA from 1 species
ACACGACUACAUUAGAUACCCCUGUAGUCCCAGCCCUAAACGAUGCGCGUUAGGUGUAUCGGUGACCACGAGUCACCGAGGUGCCGAAGGGAAACCGUGAAACGUGCCGCCUGGGAAGUACGGUCGCAAGGCUGAAACUUAAAGGAAUUGGCGGGGGGAGCACCACAACGGGUGGAGCCUGCGGUUUAAUUGGACUCAACGCCGGGAAGCUCACCGGAUAAGACAGCGGAAUGAUUGCCGGGCUGAAGACCCUGCAUGACCAGCUG